UCUCGCCGGAGCUUCGCUCCUGCGUUUGCGGCGUUCUCCUGCUCAAGGAGCCUGUGCCUGGCCGGGUGCUUCGGGGCUGCUCGGGCAAGAGGCCGAUUUGGGCAGGUAAGACAGUGAGGUCUUUAACUGCUCCAGAAGAGUGUCUGGGAAGAAAAUGUCUCUGGCAAAUAUGUACCAGGCACAUGACACUGCAGAGCUCCAAAAUCAGAAGUAAAUCAGCUGGACAGUUGCCUCCUGUCGUCCUAAAUAGGCAAACACAUUAGGAACAGAAAAGGGGGCCUACCUACCUCAUUCCUGGAGAAGGUGGGUUUACCAGUGGUGGAUGCCUGCCUCAUUUGCUUCACCAAAAUGAGUUAGGGCAUGCAGGAGAGAAGGGAGAUUUCUGCAAGUAGAACCUAUCAUGGUAAGUCA